AAUAAACCCUUUAUGGAAAGAGUGGAAAUCACACGACACAGCCUCUACAAUUCAUAGGAGCUGUCCAUCACCGGUGGUGCUGAAAUGUAUGCCAUUUCACUCACAACCUUCACUCAAACUAUAGCGGCCGCUCCAAGGAUACACUCAUUCCAGAUCUUAACCGAUGAGUAAAGCUGCCCUUUCGUGGCCUCCGUCGUGUGGAAAGUUGGAAUCAUCUGGAAACAGCACUUGUGCCUGUGCGUCACACGCUGAAAACUGCGCAUCUGAAAAAAAAAUCCUCAAUAAUUCACAAUAUCACAUGCGUUUAAUAAUUAAUUUCCUGCACGACUUUAAGGUUAGUCUGGUAACCCUGCUGAGAACACCAUCUUGAACCAGCCUAAGAUGGUUGGUUCGCUGGUCUGGAUUAAACAUGACCGAAUUGAUCUUCCGUCCUGAUCCAAAUCUAAACUGGAACCCCUCUAAGAGCAACCCAUUAGAAACAAAGGCACCUCGAGAUCACGUCAGUGGUGACACCCUUUUUUAAGGAAUACCCUCAGUGUUGGUGUAUUAGCCAAAGCGUCAAAUCUAGAUUUGUAAACAAUCCGGUUUGUUUAUAGAGCCAAACGCGUGGUCUGUGCAAAACCAGCUCGUCAGACUAAACACGUAACUGCAAAAUCUCGGUCAUGCAUAUGGUUUAUGUUCAUCACUUCAAAGACCAAUCAAUUCUUCGCGUUUGCCAAACGCAUGAAGUGGGUAAGAGCCCAGCGCUGCUUGGUAAUUCGUUUUUGGCGUGCGCUUUCAUCGGAAACAGCACAGAUUGGCGAGUCGUGACUGCUAAAGUGAGUAAUGCGCGUCGGCUGCGUCAGUAGGGGCAAAGCGCUGGGUGCCGGAGACAGAUGGAGGGAAUCGUGACUGACUGGAGACUUCCACAAAUGAAACCACAGCCUCAUCAUGUCUCCACGAGAGAGCUAUCUGUUAAAUGUUAGGGUCUCGCUGUUCUCCCCCGUCACUCUCAGUUCUGACCUUGGAAUCCGGAGGCGAUUCUACACAUUCACAGAAAUGCGACUUUGAGUGUCGGGCUCUCCAGUUAGCGAGUUGAUGCGUGCGUGUGCAUGUGUGCUCGUGCUUGUGAGGUUAUUUUAUGGUUGUGUAUGUGUGUGUGUGCGUGCGCGUGCGUGCGUGAGUGAGAUGUGUGGGGUAUCCAAAUAUAGCCAGACUCUGAGAAUGAUGUUCAUUAUUUUAUGAGACAAGGAAAGAAGAAAGCUUUGGUGGCUGCAGACCUUGUAUACACGAAUCUCGGGGAACUUGUGGAUCACACGAUUUGGAAACUGAUUUAGGACUGAACCUGCCAAAAAUCACUCCUGACCAAUGCAGACAACUGGCUGGAUAAUUUCUCAUCUGCUUUCCACCUAAAAUAUUUUUUCAUAUUUGUGAAAUAAAAUCUUAAAUAGA